AUCUAAUUAGUUUAUUUAAAAUGUUAAAUUGUGGAUUUAAAGAAGUUUAUCAUUAGAUA
rnacentral:tRNA from 1 species